UACGGGGGGGGCAAGCGUUGUUCGGAAUUACUGGGCGUAAAGGGCUCGUAGGCGGCCAACUAAGUCGGAUGUGAAAUCCCCAAGCUUAACUUGGGAACUGCAUCCGAUACUGGAUGGCUUGAAUCCGGGAGAGGGAUGCAGAAUUCCAGGUGUAGCGGUGAAAUGCGUAGAUAUCGAGAGGAACACCUGCGGCGAAGGCGGGUUGCUGGGCUGACACUGACGCUGAGGCGCGAAAGCCAGGGGAGCGAACGGG
rnacentral:rRNA from 1 species